CCUGCUUCCCCCCUGCCCUUUUUGGUGCCAGCGCACACACCGUGCUGUCAGGUACAGGUACUGCAGCACUGGAAACCCUGAAGUCAACUCACGAACUACAGGUAACGCUUAUUCAUCAUGGAAGUCGAUUCAUUUAAGGAACAAAUUGAGUCAGUGAUGACCUUUGUUUCUUGUGGACCUAGGUUAUUUUAUCUUUGUUUAAAGAGUGUGAAUACCACAAGUAUUAGCUUUCUGUAUUUUCUUAAAAAGUUGAAUAAAUUUAACUUAAUCACCAAUAUGCACAUGCAAAAUACCUUCCUGGUUGGC